UUAAGCGACUAAGCGUACACGGUGGAUGCCUAGGCAGUCAGAGGCGAUGAAGGGCGUGCUAAUCUGCGAAAAGCGUCGGUAAGCUGAUAUGAAGCGUUAUAACCGACGAUACCCGAAUGGGGAAACCCAGUGCAAUACGUUGCACUAUCGUUAGAUGAAUACAUAGUCUAACGAGGCGAACCGGGGGAACUGAAACAUCUAAGUACCCCGAGGAAAAGAAAUCAACCGAGAUUCCCCCAGUAGCGGCGAGCGAACGGGGAGGAGCCCAGAGUCUGAAUCAGUUUGUGUGUUAGUGGAAGCGUCUGGAAAGUCGCACGGUACAGGGUGAUAGUCCCGUACACCAAAAUGCACAGGCUGUGAACUCGAUGAGUAGGGCGGGACACGUGACAUCCUGUCUGAAUAUGGGGGGACCAUCCUCCAAGGCUAAAUACUCCUGACUGACCGAUAGUGAACCAGUACCGUGAGGGAAAGGCGAAAAGAACCCCGGCGAGGGGAGUGAAAUAGAACCUGAAACCGUGUACGUACAAGCAGUGGGAGCACCUUCGUGGUGUGACUGCGUACCUUUUGUAUAAUGGGUCAGCGACUUAUAUUUUGUAGCAAGGUUAACCGAAUAGGGGAGCCGUAGGGAAACCGAGUCUUAACUGGGCGUCUAGUUGCAAGGUAUAGACCCGAAACCCGGUGAUCUAGCCAUGGGCAGGUUGAAGGUUGGGUAACACUAACUGGAGGACCGAACCGACUAAUGUUGAAAAAUUAGCGGAUGACUUGUGGCUGGGGGUGAAAGGCCAAUCAAACCGGGAGAUAGCUGGUUCUCCCCGAAAGCUAUUUAGGUAGCGCCUCGUGAACUCAUCUUCGGGGGUAGAGCACUGUUUCGGCUAGGGGGCCAUCCCGGCUUACCAAACCGAUGCAAACUCCGAAUACCGAAGAAUGUUAUCACGGGAGACACACGGCGGGUGCUAACGUCCGUCGUGAAGAGGGAAACAACCCAGACCGCCAGCUAAGGUCCCAAAGUCAUGGUUAAGUGGGAAACGAUGUGGGAAGGCACAGACAGCCAGGAUGUUGGCUUAGAAGCAGCCAUCAUUUAAAGAAAGCGUAAUAGCUCACUGGUCGAGUCGGCCUGCGCGGAAGAUGUAACGGGGCUAAACCAUGCACCGAAGCUGCGGCAGCGACGUUUAGGCGUUGUUGGGUAGGGGAGCGUUCUGUAAGCCGUUGAAGGUGACCUGUGAGGGUUGCUGGAGGUAUCAGAAGUGCGAAUGCUGACAUAAGUAACGAUAAUGCGGGUGAAAAACCCGCACGCCGGAAGACCAAGGGUUCCUGUCCAACGUUAAUCGGGGCAGGGUGAGUCGACCCCUAAGGCGAGGCUGAAAAGCGUAGUCGAUGGGAAACAGGUUAAUAUUCCUGUACUUGGUGUUACUGCGAAGGGGGGACGGAGAAGGCUAGGCUGGCCGGGCGACGGUUGUCCCGGUUUAAGCGUGUAGGGGGAGUGACCAGGUAAAUCCGGUUGCUUAUCAACCCUGAGGCGUGAUGACGAUGCACUACGGUGCAGAAGCAGUUGAUGCCAUGCUUCCAGGAAAAGCCUCUAAGCAUCAGGUAACAUUAAAUCGUACCCCAAACCGACACAGGUGGUCAGGUAGAGAAUACUCAGGCGCUUGAGAGAACUCGGGUGAAGGAACUAGGCAAAAUGGUGCCGUAACUUCGGGAGAAGGCACGCUGGCGUUAGGUGAAAGGACUAGCUCCUGGAGCUGAAGCCAGUCGCAGAUACCAGCUGGCUGCAACUGUUUAAUAAAAACACAGCACUGUGCAAACACGAAAGUGGACGUAUACGGUGUGACGCCUGCCCGGUGCUGGAAGGUUAAUUGAUGGGGUCAGCCGCAAGGCGAAGCUCUUGAUCGAAGCCCCAGUAAACGGCGGCCGUAACUAUAACGGUCCUAAGGUAGCGAAAUUCCUUGUCGGGUAAGUUCCGACCUGCACGAAUGGCGUAAUGAUGGCCAGGCUGUCUCCACCCGAGACUCAGUGAAAUUGAACUCGCUGUGAAGAUGCAGUGUACCCGCGGCAAGACGGAAAGACCCCGUGAACCUUUACUAUAGCUUGACACUGAACAUUGAGCCUUGAUGUGUAGGAUAGGUGGGAGGCCUUGAAGUGUGGACGCCAGUCUGCAUGGAGCCAACCUUGAAAUACCACCCUUUAAUGUUUGAUGUUCUAACUCGGCCCCAUAAUCUGGGGUGAGGACAGUGUCUGGUGGGUAGUUUGACUGGGGCGGUCUCCUCCCAAAGAGUAACGGAGGAGCACGAAGGUUAGCUAAUCACGGUCGGACAUCGUGAGGUUAGUGCAAAGGCAUAAGCUAGCUUGACUGCGAGAGUGACGGCUCGAGCAGGUACGAAAGUAGGUCUUAGUGAUCCGGUGGUUCUGAAUGGAAGGGCCAUCGCUCAACGGAUAAAAGGUACUCCGGGGAUAACAGGCUGAUACCGCCCAAGAGUUCAUAUCGACGGCGGUGUUUGGCACCUCGAUGUCGGCUCAUCACAUCCUGGGGCUGAAGUAGGUCCCAAGGGUAUGGCUGUUCGCCAUUUAAAGUGGUACGCGAGCUGGGUUUAGAACGUCGUGAGACAGUUCGGUCCCUAUCUGCCGUGGGCGUUGGAAGAUUGAGAGGGGCUGCUCCUAGUACGAGAGGACCGGAGUGGACGAAUCACUGGUGUUCGGGUUGUCAUGCCAAUGGCAUUGCCCGGUAGCUAAAUUCGGAAGAGAUAACCGCUGAAAGCAUCUAAGCGGGAAACUUGCCUCGAGAUGAGUCUUCCCUGGGGCUUAAAGCCCCCUGAAGGAACGUUAAAGACUAUGACGUUGAUAGGCUGGGUGUGUAAGUGCAGCGAUGUAUUGAGCUAACCAGUACUAAUGAUCCGUGAGGCUUAACCUU
rnacentral:rRNA from 1 species